UACGGAGGGGGCUAGCGUUGCUCGGAAUCACUGGGCGUAAAGCGCACGUAGGCGGCUUUCUAAGUCAGGGGUGAAAUCCUGGAGCUCAACUCCAGAACUGCCUUUGAUACUGGGGAGCUCGAGUCCGGAAGAGGUGAGUGGAACUCCGAGUGUAGAGGUGAAAUUCGUAGAUAUUCGGAAGAACACCAGUGGCGAAGGCGGCUCACUGGUCCGGUACUGACGCUGAGGUGCGAAAGCGUGGGGAGCAAACAGG
rnacentral:rRNA from 1 species